AAGAAUGCUAAAAUAUCUACGCUCCGCAGUCAAGUAGAUGUUGUUUUUGUUUUGCUCUACUCUCUUGUGUGUAGUGGAUAUGAAGAUCGAACGUACCACCAUGACAUGGUGAGCAUUUAAGCAAUUUAUAAGGAAUGACGACAGCGACGGUGUUCAUGCUGAGUCAAAUUUCAGUAGCAGACUUACAAGAUGAUAACGACAGUAUUUUGCUGCACGAUUUUACAAAUACUGACAAUGAGUCUAUUCAUAUGCAAGUCAGUUGAUAGCAGAAGGUUGCGACAUCAACCUUAAUAGUAUGGAAAAACACCAUAAUGACAGCUGUUGAAUCAAACAAUCAGUAAAUAUCAAAACUUUUCCAUGAUGCUUUUCAUCUAAAUACAAACUUUAUCGAAGAGUUUGAUCCCUUGCACAUGGCUGUCUGGUACGGACUGCAUUUCAAGGCUAUGGUUUGAAUAUUAUUUGAUGCUGGUAUCGAUGUAAAUGUCAUCAAUGAAGAGUACUCUAGUCAUUUAGAUAAUAAAAUUUAGUUCUAAAUAAAACGCAUGUUUUGAUUAUAUAAUCGAUGAAAUAAUUUCAUCUAAACAUUCAUCAGUGAUUAGUAGGUUCUUAUUUAGUAUUACUGUGAUCAAAGGAAUAUACAUUGCAGCUAAAAUGGAUUUUGUCGAAGAAGAGUGUACUGAUUAACAUUGUAAUAAUAUUAAAGUAAUAUUAAAUUUAUUUUUAGUGAUAUUAUUGGAGUUGUCAAGGAAAUUCAAUUUCCAAUUAUUUAUAUAAUGGAUAAUCAAACAAUAUCUCUGUUCAUUUUCAUUAUUGAAUGUAAAUGAAAUGUCAGAAUUGCAGUACGUGCUUGAAACGAUGAUUACAUUCGCAUCAAGCCAUUUGUUAAAUUAGGACACAUCAUACAUUUAGAUGGUGUUAUUUCAAGACCUAAUGUACCACCUUCAUAUCCUAUGGAAGCUAACUUUUUUUUAGAGUUUUGCAGUAACUCUUUGCUUAAUACAUUAGGAAGAAUUCAAACAAUUAUACGGAUUUAAACCUAAUUUUGAAAUCCUUUGAGUGCUAUGAAGACUUAUAACUUAUUAUCAUUUUCUCAAUUUUUCUGAAGAAAUUAUUUAUUUAUUCAGACAGAAUGAAUUAUAACAGACUUUUACUAAUUAAUGAGAAAAAUACAAAAUGUUACUUGUAGCUUAGUUUGUUUAUGUUAUAAAGUAAUAUAUUAUAAUCGUAUUAACUUUUGCGAUGUUUUUGUAUUUAAAAUGAGGUUACGUUUUUAAUAAACAAAAAUAAGUAAAAAUUGCAAAAUAAUACAC